GUGUCUUGUAGAAUGUCUUAGCCGUUUAGGCUGAAUUGAAAUACAACUUUCAACAACGGAUCUCUUGGCUCUCGCAUCGAUGAAGAACGCAGCGAAAUGCGAUAAGUAAUGUGAAUUGCAGAAUUCAGUGAAUCAUCGAAUCUUUGAACGCACCUUGCGCUCCUUGGCUAUUCCGAGGAGCAUGCCUGUUUGAGUGUCAUGUUAAUCUCAACCCCUUCGGUUUUGUAAUGAGACUGGUUGGGUGUUGGACUUGGAGGUCUUUGCUGGCUCGUUUAGAGAGUCGGCUCCUCUAGAAUGCAUUAGCUUUGGACCUGUGCGCGUGCUUAGCGGUGUAAUAGGCUUUUAUUCACCACAUGAGCGCGUUGUUCACUCUUAGGGUCUGCUUCUAAUCGUCUUCGGACAAAUUCACUUUUGACUCUGACCUCAAAUCAGGUAGGACUACCCGCUGAACUUAAGCAUAUCAAUAAGCGGAGGAAAAGAAACUAACAAGGAUUCCCCUAGUAACUGCGAGUGAAGCGGGAAAAGCUCAAAUUUAAAAUCUGGCGGUUUUGCUGCCCGAGUUGUAAUCUGGAGAAGCGUCUUCCGUGC
rnacentral:rRNA from 1 species